rnacentral:lncRNA from 1 species
CUUUAUUCUCGUCUCUUUUUUCACUUUUAUAUAUUUAUGUUUUCGUGAAAAUAUUGCUUGCAUUGACUGCACAAAUUACUUGAGGAACUUUUUAGAAUCCAUACACAAAACAAAGCAAUACUUGGGUCCUUCUGUUGUCAUCCCUGCCCAGCAAAGGGCGACUUUCCCAUAAGAAAGGCCAUAACUCUAUUUGCUUCUCCUGGCUGCUUCACUUUAGUAGUCAAUGCAGUAUGAAUAGCAGUGUAGUCAAUGCAGUAUGAAUAGCAGUUGUUUCGACAAUUCUGUAACUUGAUGUUUUCCCUUUU